rnacentral:lncRNA from 1 species
CAAAUUAAGCCGUAAAUUGUACUAGUAAAUGGAACUCCGAUUACAUGGUAUAUAUGUAUAUUCCAUGCUACAGUAACGCUGGAAAAUUUGAAGCGACCUAGCUAAGAAGUGGUGGUGGAAGAAGCUUGGCCGGCGGAAAAGACUGAGAACCGGCAAAGGGGGCAGGAAUUCCGAACUGUGAGCCACUUUCCAAUGCAUUCUGCGUGAAAAACAUGGCCACAGGGAACUUGUUUGCCGGUUUCCACAAAGGCUUCCAUGCAAACAGUACAGGCACCGGUGGCCGCAACCGCCGGCAACUCGACUUGACGAUUAUGUCUGGAAGCAUUGGACUCCGACAGCUUCAUUGGAUUCGUUUGAUCGUCGCUGCUGGAACCGUCCAACCUUGUCGUCUCCGGUAUUGUCGAGGCCGUGUCGAGGUCGAACAUUUCCUCGACAUCAAAAAGUGACAUUGGGCCGUGGAUAAUACGUACGAGGAUGAUUAGUACUGCAAAGAUAUGAUUAAAAGAUAAUUUGCACUUUGCAGGGCGUAUGUGUGUAUAUAUAGUUGCGGAGUGCGUGAGUGUGUGCUCUGCUGAUCGACCGUCGGGCGCGGGUGUUGCAACUUGGAAAACUGUCAAUGGCGUCGUUGUCAAAAUUAUUUAGGGGUCUGACGGCAUUGGCAAGCUUUUCAACUUGUGACUCUUUUGUCCUUUUACCACUUUCUUCCCUUCUAACCUACCGUAUUUUGCAAAUGAGCAGGCAGCUGCAGAAAACAGUGGGACAGCUAAAAGUGCUAGCACAAGUUGCUAGUGGAAGAAAUACAUGUUGUGAUAGGGAAGCUGUAUUUUGUAGCGACUGGCAAGUGGCAAGCGGCAACCAUCACCUAUUACCUGGCAAGGGCCAAUAGAUGGCCGGAAAGAUUUGGACUCGUUUAAAGAAAGGAAUCUUGUGAACACAGUAGCGUGUUAGAUAUUUUUCAAAUUUUGAUAUUUUCAAAUAUGAUCACGGUGAACAUAAUGUCAGAUAUUUUUUUAAAUUUGAUCAUUUGCAUUGAUGGGGCCGUGUUGGAAUCCG